rnacentral:rRNA from 1 species
UUGCCUACGGGGCGCAGCAGUGAGGAAUAUUGGUCAAUGGACGCAAGUCUGAACCAGCCAUGCCGCGUGCAGGAUGACGGCUCUAUGAGUUGUAAACUGCUUUUGUACGAGGGUAAACCCCGAUACGUGUAUCGGGUUGAAAGUAUCGUACGAAUAAGGAUCGGCUAACUCCGUGCCAGCAGCCGCGGUAAUACGGAGGAUGCGAGCGUUAUCCGGAUUUAUUGGGUUUAAAGGGUGCGCAGGCGGAUUUUUAAGUCAGCGGUCAAAUCGUGGGGCUCAACCUCAUCCAGCCGUUGAAACUGGGG